rnacentral:tRNA from 1 species
CAGGACGUGGGAAAGUUUGGUAAUCCGCGUGCCUCGGGCGCACGAGAUCGUCGGUUCAAAUCCGACCGUCCUGAC